UGCGGGGUGGAGCAGUUUGGUAGCUCAAUGGGCUCAUAACCCAUAGGUCGGAGGUUCGAAUCCUCCCCCCGCUACCA
rnacentral:tRNA from 1 species